rnacentral:rRNA from 1 species
UGGGGAAUUUUGGACAAUGGGCGAAAGCCUGAUCCAGCAAUGCCGCGUGUGUGAAGAAGGCCUUCGGGUUGUAAAGCACUUUUGUCCGGAAAGAAAUCCUUGGCUCUAAUACAGUCGGGGGGUGACGGUACCGGAAGAAUAAGCACCGGCUAACUACGUGCCAGCAGCCGCGGUAAUACGUAGGGUGCAAGCGUUAAUCGGAAUUACUGGGCGUAAAGCGUGCGCAGGCGGUUUGCUAAGACCGAUGUGAAAUCCCCGGGCUCAACCUGGGAACUGCAUUGGUGACUGGCAGGCUAGAGUAUGGCAGAGGGGGGUAGAAUUCCACGUGUAGCAGUGAAAUGCGUAGAGAUGUGGAGGAAUACCGAUGGCGAAGGCAGCCCCCUGGGCCAAUACUGACGCUCAUGCACGAAAGCGUGGGGAGCAAACAGGAUUAGAUACCCUGGUAGUCCACGCCCUAAAACGAUGUCAACUAGUUGUUGGGGAUUCAUUUCCUUAGUAACGUAGCUAACGCGUGAAGUUGACCGCCUGGGGAGUACGGUCGCAAGAUUAAAACUCAAAUGAAUUGACGGGGUCAUAGCUGUUUCCU